GCCUGGGUGGCUCAGUCGGUUAAGUGUCCGACUUCAGCUCAGGUCAUGAUCCCGCAGUCCGUGGGUUCGAGCCCCGCGUCAGGCU
rnacentral:tRNA from 1 species